GGCUCAGGAUGAACGCUAGCGACAGGCUUAACACAUGCAAGUCGAGGGGCAGCACAGGUAGCAAUACCGGGUGGCGACCGGCGCACGGGUGAGUAACGCGUAUGCAACUUACCUAUCAGAGGGGGAUAACCCGGCGAAAGUCGGACUAAUACCGCAUGAAGCAGGGGCCCCGCAUAGGGAUAUUUGCUAAAGAUUCAUCGCUGAUAGAUAGGCAUGCGUUCCAUUAGGCAGUUGGCGGGGUAACGGCCCACCAAACCGACGAUGGAUAGGGGUUCUGAGAGGAAGGUCCCCCACAUUGGUACUGAGACACGGACCAAACUCCUACGGGAGGCAGCAGUGAGGAAUAUUGGUCAAUGGCCGAGAGGCUGAACCAGCCAAGUCGCGUGAGGGAUGAAGGUUCUAUGGAUCGUAAACCUCUUUUAUAAGGGAAUAAAGUGCGGGACGUGUCCCGUUUUGUAUGUACCUUAUGAAUAAGGAUCGGCUAACUCCGUGCCAGCAGCCGCGGUAAUACGGAGGAUCCGAGCGUUAUCCGGAUUUAUUGGGUUUAAAGGGUGCGUAGGCGGCCUUUUAAGUCAGCGGUGAAAGUCUGUGGCUCAACCAUAGAAUUGCCGUUGAAACUGGGGGGCUUGAGUAUGUUUGAGGCAGGCGGAAUGCGUGGUGUAGCGGUGAAAUGCAUAGAUAUCACGCAGAACCCCGAUUGCGAAGGCAGCCUGCCAAGCCAUGACUGACGCUGAUGCACGAAAGCGUGGGGAUCAAACAGGAUUAGAUACCCUGGUAGUCCACGCAGUAAACGAUGAUCACUAGCUGUUUGCGAUACACUGUAAGCGGCACAGCGAAAGCGUUAAGUGAUCCACCUGGGGAGUACGCCGGCAACGGUGAAACUCAAAGGAAUUGACGGGGGCCCGCACAAGCGGAGGAACAUGUGGUUUAAUUCGAUGAUACGCGAGGAACCUUACCCGGGUUUGAACGCAUUCGGACCGAGGUGGAAACACCUUUUCUAGCAAUAGCCGUUUGCGAGGUGCUGCAUGGUUGUCGUCAGCUCGUGCCGUGAGGUGUCGGCUUAAGUGCCAUAACGAGCGCAACCCUUGCCACUAGUUACUAACAGGUAAAGCUGAGGACUCUGGUGGGACUGCCAGCGUAAGCUGCGAGGAAGGCGGGGAUGACGUCAAAUCAGCACGGCCCUUACAUCCGGGGCGACACACGUGUUACAAUGGCGUGGACAAAGGGAGGCCACCUGGUGACAGGGAGCGAAUCCCCAAACCACGUCUCAGUUCGGAUCGGAGUCUGCAACCCGACUCCGUGAAGCUGGAUUCGCUAGUAAUCGCGCAUCAGCCAUGGCGCGGUGAAUACGUUCCCGGGCCUUGUACACACCGCCCGUCA
rnacentral:rRNA from 1 species